CUCAGUUCUCAGUUCUAUCUUUUUCCUCAUCUCCACUUAUCUCAAGCAUCAUAUAUCAGUUGCAUUGCUGCAUACACUCUCCACCCAAUCAGCCAACAACCUUCGUCCUCUUCCUUUCUCUUAGCGGACAGCUGAUACCCCAGCUCACUGAGCUAUUUGGAGUAAAAGAAUGUGGCCAAGAAGUAUUAUCAACCCCAGGCGGAGAAAGGAAAUGAGUUCUAUCGAGUUCUUAGGUGCUGAGCUACAUGCAAGCAGAUCAAAUAUUGGAAUUAUGGGACUAGGAAAAGAAGCUUCAACUCAGAGCAGCUCCUCCCGAUAUGAAAAGUCGAGAAGGGACCCUCUACAUACUUGGCACGGUUGAAAAACAAUAUGUAUAUUGUUGGUGGCCAAACGUAUGUCUCUGACUACC